UUGAUCUACGGUCACACUGACGCGCAGGGCUCUGCGAAAAAAAUUAAAUUAAAAUUUUAAUUUAAAUUAUUUAAAUAAGACAACCACCAAUGGCUGAUUCGGAUGAUGAGUACGACCGCAAGCGGCGCGACAAGUUUCGUGGAGAACGCGAGAGCUAUCGGACUGAGCGCCGAGACGAGCGUCGCCCCAUAGGUGGUGCUGGAGGAGGCCGGGACGAAUGGUCGGAGCGCAAUCCCUUCCGGGGUGGAGGUGCUGGAGGAGGCGGAGCACCGCGUCAUCGACCCGAUUACAGCGAUUACCGUGGCCCGGGUCCACGGGCACGGUACGGCUCUCCCGUUCGCGACAUGCCCCCACCGAAACGUAUGCGCUCUGACUGGGGUGACGGAGAUGGGCGUCCAGGUCCUCGAUAUGGUGGCUAUGACCCCUAUCUCAUGCAGGCAUGGACCGAUCACUAUCAGUCCAUGCACUCGGCGUACCACCACGCCAGCCACCCACCGCCAGUGCGAGAGCUGCCAAUAAUCGGGGGAGACACGCUGACUCAGCCGGCGAUGCUGAACUUGAAACAGUUCCUUGACACCCAGGACGAGAACAUCUCCGACUCCGAGGUGAUGCGCAAGUACACGGAGUACAAGACGGACUUCAAGCGCCAGCAGCUGAACGAGUUCUUUGUUGCCCACAAGGACGAGGAAUGUUUUUCUCUGCAGCUUAUUGGGUUUGUGAGACAGAGUCCUAUCUGAGAGCAUCUGCGCCGCUUUUGCAGAGCUGCUGUCUGAUAUCACUGAUAUAACUUGAACUUAAAGUCUUAAUUACCCGGCGAGCAAUGCCGUGGUGUGUUUAUAUUUUGAAACCGCGAUUUAUUUCAAUUCGAUUGUUGAGCGAAAGCCCAAAAUAACCAUAUAUCACAUUCCUAUAAAUAACGAAAGCGCAAAGCCAUCAAAGGUUCAAGAACAAAUACCAUCCCGAGGACAGUGUGAACCGCAGCGAGGAGCAGCGCGGAUUUUUGCGG
rnacentral:misc_RNA from 1 species